rnacentral:lncRNA from 1 species
GUUAACCUCUGUAACCCAUUUUAAAAUAAUAAGAUUGUAUUAUUUGAGUAUUAUAUGUUUUGUGCUUAAUUGCUUAAUUAUGUGGUUUGAUUAAUUAAGAAUAAAAAUAAGCGUCAAAAUUUAAGUGUAAAAUAAACUUGAUAUCUUUGGAUAAUGUUGUAGUAGUUGAAACGAGGUUUCCGAAUAUAUAUAGAACGCCCAAAUCUGACUUCGUAUGAGGAAGUUAUGAUUUAUCGAAGUUUCGGCUUAGCGGUGUGCAGCCCGAAAUACUCGAUUUGAGAUCGAGCGGUUUUUAGCCGAAGCAAUCUAAACGAGGAUCGAAGGUCUCUUUGUUGGUAUCAAAGCGAUAAAAAUUUAGGCGAGAACGGACAUCAAACGAAGAAGUUAUGAAUUUAUAACGAAGUUUUUCUGUCGCGGCCUAUUAAAAAUAAAUAAUAAAAAUAAAGUCGAAACAACUUUCGUAUGAAGAACGUCGAAAACGGAGUUCGUAUGAAGAAGAUAUGAAUUUCCGAAGUUUAUUUAAUAUUUUGUAUUUAAAUGUAAUUGGAAAUUCGGAAGCAUUAUCCGUGGAUGAGUCACCGGUCUGAUCCGAGGUACGCCCCGCGUACUCGAGUACGCCCCGCGUACUCCGAAGUGUCGACAUUCGCAGCAAGUGGCUUCGGAUGACGAACGCCAUGACGCCUUCGGACAAGUACGCGCCGCGUACUGGCAUACGCCCCGCGUACUCCGAGGCUCCAGCCUCCUAUAAAUAGGAUUUGAAGGCAGCCGAGUCUCUUGUUCAUUUUCUCUCUUCUCUCUCCCGUUUUGCAUCGUUUUGCGUGCCAGAAAUACCCCGAAGCCCCGAUAUCAUACUCAAGCCCCGAGGCAAGUCCCGAGAUCCCGAAGAUCCCGAGAAGUGCGGUUCCCGAGCCGAAGCUCUGCCCGCGAGAAGUUCGAUUUUUGUGAAGAUCUUCCAGAUCUGCUGAGGAUUACUACUUCUGCAAGUCGUAGUGCUGUCCGAUCAUCUUCUGAUCAAGUGAGUGUAUACUACCUUUCAUAAACACGAUAAUAAUACAAGUUUGGUUCGAGUGUAUUAAAUAUAUUGUUGUUUAUAAGUGUGAGUGUGUAGUUACUUUCUUCUAACGCAUAAUUAUGAAGUAUUUUAUACGAAAUACGUGUUAUGUGUAUAAUAUUGUUGUUUAUGUGUGUGAAUGUGUAUUCACUCUCUUCUGUCUCAUAGAUAUGAUUUAUUCUCUAUGAGAUAUGUGUUAUGUGUGUGUGUGCCUCAUCUGUUAUGUGGAUUAUGUGUUGAUUAAAGCAUGCUAUACAGGUUUUCAAAACUAUGUAUAAAAAUGUAUAUUUUAUCUACUAAUAUGUUGGGUAGAACAUGGGUAGAUAGUUGGUGUGUAAUAAACAGAUGAGAGGCCUCGUUGUUGUUUGAUUUAGUCAUCUAGCGGAGUUUAGAUGACGACCACAGACUUUUCUAGAUAGUCUUGUGGAAACAUUAGCAGGUUCGCCACCUGUAGGUGUUAAUGAACUUGGGUGUUCAUUCGCUGUACUCCAUCCCCCUCAUGGUUGCCUUAUUUGACUUAUAUUGCUGAGGUACCCCCGAAGCAUGUGUUGUCGCCCCGAUGAAAUAUUCUUAGACUAGGUCCCUUAUGUUAGUUGUUUUAGGGACAUUAAAGUGAGAAUAACGGGAAUGGGUAAUUGGGUUAUUGUUGGUUGGUGAAAAUUAAAUAUGAUAUUUAUUGUGGGUUGAAAACCCUAUAUGCUCACCAGGCUCCCAAGCCUGACCCACUCAGUUUUAAAUUGUAUUACAGGUAGUGGCGGAAGGGCAUGAGAUGGAUGAACCAUCAAGUUGUUUUGUUUACAAGUCUGCAUAUGUUUAUAUUUGUUAUAUGACUUGUAAUGUAUUCGUUUAUGCUUAUUGGUCUGUAUCGGAACAUGACACCCCGAGUUUUGAUUAUAAUGAAAAUACAUUUCUUUUAUGAAAUGCUUCGGUAAACAAUGUUUUAUCAUGUUUUGUUUUUGGGAACAAAUUCCGCAACUCUUUCAAAUCAAAAGGAUUUACUCUGAAAAUAUUUAAAAGCAUAAAUGAAAAUCGGUCUUUUCUGGCCGAGAUUUUGGGGAUGUCACAGUUGGUAUCAGAGCAUUAGUUUAAGCGAACUAGGAAUUUGUAGGAUUUCUAGACUUAAACUUAGAAUGCUAAGUGAAAUUUUGAGAUGUGUGUCUGUUGUGAUUUAGACACGAGCACUAGUUUAUUUUAGGAAAGUUGCCUAAAAUGCUUUAUGUGCUAAAUGUUAUAUGUUGCCAUAUAUGAUAUUAUUUGUUCGGAUCUAUGGUCUGUUGCCGACCGGAUCUAGAAACCUUAUGUGUGUAGGAUUCUAAGCGUACGUCUACGAUAUUAGAACUAGCAUGUAAACGUUUCGGAGUGAUAAGGAUGAUUUGAAUAUCUAUCAUGAUUGAGGAUCUAAUUUCACCUUAUUCGGUGUAGAUCAAAAUGGUGAGAACAAGAAGUGGAGUUGGAAAUGCUGACGAAAACAGGAAUCAACCACCAGUGAUUGAGCCAAUACCUGUCGUAGCAGCAGCACCUGAGCCAAUAACCAUGGCUGGUGUGCAAUUGAUGAUUCAGACGAUGUUGGAUCGUCAGAUGGAUGAAACUAGAUGGUUGAUUCAACAAAAUCGUGAAGAACUAUCAAUUCGUGUGGAGGAGCCUGAAUUAAGUGAAGGGCACUCGGAAGGGGGAAACUUCAGUGGGUCUGUUGGUCAAGCCAACCCACCGAUAGUUAGGCAAGAUAACCAUGAUGGAAGGAAUGAUGGAAUGGGAUGCAAGUACAAGGACUUUNNNNNNNNNNNNNNNNNNNNNNNNNNNNNNNNNNNNNNNNNNNNNNNNNNNNNNNNNNNNNNNNNNNNNNNNNNNNNNNNNNNNNNNGGCAAGUUGCAGACUAUCUAUGCAGUGCGUCAGUUCCGAGGUGGAGCCGUUCGUUGGUGGAACACUCUAGGGAAGACGUUGAGCCCUAAUGAGCCACUGCAACUAUCAUGGGCAGAAUUCUUGGCGCAGUUCAAGCGCAAGUUCUGUUCGGCUCAAAAUUUGUUGGAAUUGGAGAACAAGUUUCAGACAUUGACGAAAGGUAGCAUGUCAGUUGAUGAAUACACCAAUAACUUCACCGAUAAGAUGGAGUUUGCCUUGCGUAUCGUUCCAGACGAGCUGACAAAGGUGGAUCGGUAUGCGAAGGGACUUCCAUGGGAGUACGAGGUGCCGGUACGUCAGGCACUUACUCUAGAGGCAGCUAUCUGGGCUGCCAAGUCUGUGGAGAACAUGAUAAAGGGAAGAACCACCGACAAGGUUGAGGUUGGUGAGAAAAGAAAGUUUGAGGGAACAUCUGGUUCCGGUAAGAAGGGCAAAUUUUCGAAAUCUGAUUCGAAAAAGUUUGGAGGAAAAGGAGGCGAAGCGAAGUGGUGUGAUAAGUGUAAGAAAAAGCACUUUGGGAAAUGUAGCGAGGAUGUAACCUGCUACAAGUGUGGAAAGGUUGGACAUUUUGCCAAUGAAUGUCCGAACAACAAAAGGAUGUGUUUUGGGUGUAAUGAAGAGGGGCAUAUUUUGAAAGACUGUCCGAAGAAGAAGGAGGCAGCUAGGCCCAACAUUCCACCAAAGCCGAAGGCGAGAGCCUUCCAGAUGACACUUGAGGCUGCGAAAGAUGAAGCUGAUGUCGCUUCAGGUACCUUUCUCGUAAACGAAUUACCUGCUCAUAUAUUGUUUGAUUCUGGAGCCAACUACUCCUUUAUUUCGCAUGAGUUUGGUAGAAAGCUAGCUUUGCCUAUUGAUAGACUAGAUAAUGCUUUAUUAGUCGAAGUAGCUAGUGGCAAGUUUGUACCUGUUAGCCAUCGUAUGAAAAACGUCUUGAUCGACCUUAAUGGGAAUAAGUUUCACGAGGAAUUAUUGCCUAUCGAACUUAAUGGUUUCGACAUCGUCUUGGGAAUGGAUUGGCUUAGCGCCAAUGAUGCCGAAAUUUUAUGCAAGAAGAAGAUAGUUAAAGUAAACCCGCCUGGGAAAGAUUCGUUUAUGGUGUAUGGGGACAAACGCAGAGUGAAUUCUGGAAUCAUUUCUCUAAUGAAAGCCAGAAAGUGUUUGACCAAGGGAUGUACAUCAUAUUUAGCAUUCGUGAUUGAUGCUAAGAAAGAAAAGAAGGUGAUGCAGAGUAUUCCAGUGGUGUGUGAUUAUCCGGAAGUAUUUCCCGAGGAUCUUCCUGGAUUACCACCUGAUAGACAAGUGGAGUUCAGAAUAGACUUGUUACCAGGAACCACGCCAAUAGCAAAAGCACCUUAUCGAUUAGCACCGACGGAGAUGAAGGAGCUGAUGAUGCAACUUCAGGAGUUAUUGGACAAAGGUUUCAUUAGACCUAGUUCAUCGCCCUGGGGAGCUCCGGUGUUAUUUGUAAAGAAGAAAGAUGGAAGUAUGAGAAUGUGCAUCGAUUACAGAGAGCUGAACAAGGCAACAAUAAAGAAUAGAUAUCCGUUGCCGAGGAUUGAUGACCUGUUUGAUCAAUUGCAAGGUUCGAGCUAUUUCUCGAAGAUCGAUCUUAGGUCAGGAUAUCAUCAGCUGAAAGUAAGAGAGCAAGAUAUCGAGAAGACUGCAUUCAGAACUAGAUAUGGACACUACGAGUUCUUGGUUAUGUCGUUUGGACUAACCAAUGCUCCAGCAGCGUUCAUGGAUUUGAUGAAUAGGGUUUGUAAUCCUUUCCUUGAUAAAUCCGUGAUAGUGUUCAUAGACGACAUUCUGAUCUACUCGAAAAGCCAGGAGGAGCAUGGCAGACACUUGCGAGAAGUGUUAGAAGUUUUGAAGAAGGAGAAGCUUUAUGCGAAGUUCUCCAAAUGUGAUUUUUGGAUUCGUGAGGUCCAAUUCUUGGGUCACGUGGUCAACCAAGAAGGGAUAAUGGUUGAUCCAGCGAAGAUCGAAGCUGUGACGAAGUGGGAACAACCGAAAAGUCCCACGGAGAUUCGAAGCUUUUUAGGAUUAGCCGGAUAUUACCGAAGGUUUAUCCAAGGCUUUUCUUCGAUUGCUACUCCAUUAACAGCUUUGACCCACAAAGGAGCUACUUAUGCUUGGAGUGAGAAGCAUAAAGAAGCAUUCGAGAAGUUAAAGAAGAAGCUAUGCGAGGCACCGAUACUUUCUCUACCCGAUGGAGUUGAAGACUUCGCUGUUUAUAGCGAUGCGUCUGGUGUUGGAUUGGGUUGUGUUUUGACCCAAAGAGAAAAGGUGAUAGCAUAUGCGUCUCGACAGCUGAAAGAGCAUGAAAAGAAUUACCCGACUCAUGAUUUGGAGUUGGCAGCGGUAGUUUUCGCUCUGAAAAUAUGGAGGCAUUACCUCUAUGGCACGAAGUGCAAACUUUUCACUGAUCAUAAGAGUCUCCAAUACCUCUUUAAUCAGAAAGAAUUGAAUAUGAGGCAACGACGCUGGCUAGAAUUACUUAAAGACUACGACUGCGAGAUACUUUACCACCCCGGUAAAGCUAAUGUUGUUGCUGAUGCUCUCAGUCGGAAAGUCAAUCUUGAAAGGAAGAGGCCAAGAGCGUUGAGAAUUGAAGUUGUCUCGACUAUUGUGGAAAGUAUAAAGAAAGCUCAAGAGGAAGCUUCUGAGAAAAAUGACCGAAAGGAGGAACGUUUGGGUAAAACGUUGGUGUUUGGUACUAACGGUCAUGGACUGAAGGUAUUCCAAGAUCGUAUUUGGGUACCUAAGUCAGGAGGAAUUAGGGAUCUUCUGAUGGAAGAAGCUCACAAAACCAUGUACUCAAUUCAUCCGGGUAGCACUAAAAUGUAUAGGGACCUGAAACCCUACUACUGGUGGCCGACGAUGAAGCUUGAUGUUGCAAAGUAUGUGGCCGAGUGUGUGACUUGUGCGAGAGUCAAGACACAACAUCAGAAACCUUACGGGAGUUUAGAACCAUUGCCUGUGCCUAUGGGUAAGUGGGAAGACAUUGCUAUGGAUUUUGUCACUAAACUGCCCAGAACAAAGAAUGGUCACGACAUGAUUUGGGUGGUCGUUGAUCGAUUCACUAAGAGUGCGCAUUUCAUAGCGGCCAGGGAGAAAUGGUCUAUGGAAAAGCUUGCGAAUUCUUACGUGAAGGAAAUUGUGAGGCUUCACGGUGUUCCGUUAACGAUUGUAUCGGAUCGUGAUAGCCGUUUCACCUCAAGGUUUUGGAAAAGUCUACAAGAGGAAAUGGGUACCAAGUUAUGUUUAAGCACAGCUUACCAUCCGCAGACUGAUGGUCAGAGUGAAAGAACAAUACAAACACUUGAAGAUAUGCUGAGAGCAUGUACCUUGGAAUUCCUAGGUAAUUGGGAUGAACAUUUACCGUUGGUAGAAUUUUCCUAUAAUAAUAGUUUUCACUCGAGCAUUAAGAUGGCACCUUAUCAAGCUUUGUAUGGACAGAAGUGUCGUACGCCGUCUUGUUGGCUUGAGGCUGGGGAAAAGCAGUUUAUGGGACCGGAGAUGGUUCAUCAAACUGCUGAAAAGUUGAAAAUAAUUAGGGAAAGAAUGUUAGCAGCUCAAGAUCGUCAAAAGAGCUAUGCUGACAAGAAGCGAAGACCGAUGACUUUUGAGGUUGGAGAUUCGGUUUUGCUUAAAGUCUCGCCGUGGAAGGGACUUAUAAGAUUUGGUAAAAGGGGAAAGUUGAGUCCAAGGUUUAUUGGACCGUUUAAAGUCCUUCAGAGGAUUGGGAAUCAAGCUUACAAGCUCGAAUUACCCGAAGAACUGAAUGGAAUUCACAACACCUUUCAUGUGUGUUAUUUGAGGAAGUUCACGGGAGAAGUUCCCGAUAUAAUUCCAAUUUCUGAAUUGAGAAUUGAUGAGAACAAAAGGUUGAUUGAAGAACCAGAGGCAAUUGUUGACCGAAAGACUAAGAAGUUGCGACGCAAAAUGGUUGGGUUAGUGCUUGUCCGAUGGAAACACACGAAUGGGCCGAAUCUCACCUGGGAGACGGAGAGUGACAUGUUGAGUCGCUAUCCGCAUUUGUUUGUUGAUGUGUGAUUCCGGGGACGGAAUCAUUCUAAGGUGGAGAGAAUUGUAACGCCUGUGUUUCCGGGCUUGCCAUUUUUAGCAAUGUAAUAGUCUAGGUUAACCUUUGUAACCCGUUUUGAAAUAAUAAGAUUGUAUUAUUUGAGUAUUAUGUGUUUUGUGCUUAAUUGCUUAAUUAUGUGGUUUGAUUAAUUAAGAAUAAAAAUAAGCGUCAAAAUUUAAGUGUAAAAUAAACUUAAUAUCUUUGGUUAAUGUUGUAGUAGUUGAAACGAGGUUUCCGAAUAUAUAUAGAACGCCCAAAUCUGACUUCGUAUGAGAAAGUUAUGAUUUAUCGAAGUUUCGGCUUAGCGGUGUGCAGCCCGAAAUACUCGAUUUGAGAUCGAGCGGUUUUUAGUCGAAACAAUCUAAACGAGGAUCGAAGGUCUCAUUGUUGGUAUCAAACCGAUAAAUAGUUAGGCGAGAACGGACGUCAAACGAAGAAGUUAUGAAUUCAUAACGAAGUUUUUCUGUCGCGGCCUAUUAAAAAUAAAUAAUAAAAAUAAAUUCGAUAUUAGCCGAAGGGGUCUAAAAGUAAGUUGUAGAACGUAGUCUCACCUUCGCGUGGAUAUAAAGAACGUCGAAAACGGAGCUCGU